UGCCAAAACUAAUUGUGAUUUCUCGGAAC
rnacentral:piRNA from 1 species